AGACAGCAUCCAGCCACAGCACUGGCAGAGGAGUGUUUCCACAGCAGAGCAAUGGGAUCUUCAGCUUCAGUGACCACCUGGAAUGCUCAAAGCUUACGCCUGUCUUGAAGAAUCAAGAGGACCUCUGUUUAAUAUCUGCAUCCAGUGUUGGUAUUAUAUCCUAAAGUUGGAAAAGAGUUUUUCUAGCUCUAAGAGCUCUGCUUAUGGCUUUCGGAUGAGGCUCACAUGGAAGAGCACUUCUUUGUCCUGCCAGAGGAGAAGGAAUGCCCCUGGUUCAGCUUUUUGCUUUGUGUGCUAGUAGUCCCACUAGCCCUCAGAGCAGCAUGCUAUAAGGGAAAAAAGGAGGUGAUCAGAACUAGCAGCAUCCAUAUUUGUGAAAUUCUUUCCUAUGUCCCCAUGUUCACCAUCCAGAAGAGAGGAGGAUUCAGUUUGUUCAACUCUUUGCUCUCCAUUGACUACAGACACCAGGAAAUGUGCAAAAUCUUUUUUUCUCAGAUGACAUGCUUUCCUCAAGUUAAUCUUUCACGAUCAGGCACUGUGCUGAUCCAGGAGGGAGGCAGAGACUACUGAACCUUGCAGUCGCUGGGCUAGCUGAGCACUUUGCCUGCCUGGAAGGCUGAAUCCAGAUACCACUGCCUUGACUCUGUGCUCAGGCCGGCUGAUGAAAAGGGAUUUGAGGAUCCACCACUUGUGCCGUGCUUGGACAAACCGUAUGGUGUGUGCUCGUUCAAUAAUCACGUGUGGGAGCUUUACCUUGGAAUUGCAUAGGUAGGUGUAGAAACAAGCUGCAUGGUGCUGUAUAGUUCCACAUCUCUGCUGAACAGUUUGCUUUUGCUUGGAGGAAGUUGCUUCUGCAGUGAAAAAGUAUUAGGGAACGCUGCACGUUUUCUUGAAAGGGUGGUGUGUUCUGGACUAGGAUAGCAGAAAGUUGUGUGGUGAAGGCACUGGUGACCUUUCGAACAGGCUUUCAAGAAGCAAGAAAAACUACUUGCAUGUAUUUGCUCAUGUUUUAGAUAUCUUUCCAACUUGACCUUUUGAAAACAAUCUAUUUACACAUCCCACACACAGCGAGAUCAGCAAUGUGAGGCAGUGAGGGGUGGGAGUAGAUAUGCAGAGCUGAGUGGCAUAUAACCAUCACACUUGCACCACGCCAGCCAUGCUCAUACUCUUCCCAGAUGUGUGCCAGGGGCUGACCCAGUCCUGGGAUGUGAUGGGCUUUAUGCACCCUCGCUGGAGCUAGUGUAGAGGCUGUGACCACAUGUGCUGGUUUUGGCUGAGGUAGAGUUAAUUUUUUUCACAAUUACUGGUAUGGGCCUAUGUUUUGAAUUUGUUCAGUGACAAAUUACUUCAUCAUCUCCCAGGAGUUCCCAGCUGCUAGGUAUGACAUCUCAGUGUCCCAUGCCCUGGGUUAGAUCAGUCAGCAAAGGGCUCUUUGCCAUAAAGGGCUGCAUAUGGUGUGCAGCUGUGCCAGGAUGAGGUGGCUGUGAGACAUCCCCGCAGCUCUUCUCCCUGGUGCAUAGCACUGCAAGCUUUUCCCUUCCAUAUGACCCGGAGUGCACACCUUUUCAUAGCCAUUUUCUGCAUCCUAGCUGUAUGGGAAACCACAGGAGAGCUCACUAUCUUGAUUCCUGAUGUUAUAUUUGCAUGUUGCGGGGAACAGAUUCAUAAAGGGGUGUACUCAAAGGCUUGGUGUUAAUUGGUGCCGUAGUGCUUUUAAUUUAGUCACAUGGAUUUGGCAGUGCAGUUCCCACAGCAACUGCCCUCCUCGUGCACAGGGGAAAAAGCUUCCCAAGAAAGUGGGUUUCUUCACUGCAGUGUCACAGAAACCAUAUGCAACAAAGAGAUUUUUAUGGUAGGAGCCUUAUAUAGCAUAGCUGUAGGGCUAAAAUCCCAAAGACAAAGUCAUCAUGCAAAUAUCCAUGCACAUGUGGGCAUAUAUGGGUAGCCCAGACUCAUCCCAGACUCUGCAAGUGGGAGAUUUUUGGAUGUGAUUUCAAAAUUCCUGACUGUGCUGUGUUCCAGUAAUAGUAAUGGAGUGAAGCCAAAGUUGUAACCUGGCUUGGGUGAGGAUAGAUCUGCCUCCAAGGUCUGCCUCAGCUGCAGACUCUUUGCUUUCCUUAUCACAGUGUGUGACUUCUCAGUGUAUAAUUAACUUGAAGACUAUUAUUUUUAUUGGGGAGGAGGGAGGAGGCAUUUCGGACAAACUCAGUGUGCAAGAUAAACUAGGUUAGAGUACUUUCAGAAGGUCAUACUGUACAUGACAGUAUGUCAUGUACAUACAUGAGGCCAGGGGGUCCUGGCCUCAGCAGGUGAAGUAGAAGAUGCAUCACUCUAAAAGCAGAGUGGCAGAGUGGUCUGUAAGCAGGGGUGAGAGCUGAUAGCUGUCCAUUGGCCCCCAAAAGUCAGUGGAGACCAUAGAACACCAUAUAGGGAAGAGUUCAGUGGUCCCUUUUCCAGCAUUUGGUACACAAAUGUAAAAAGUACUUAGUGAAGCCUGGAGUGCAUAUGUGAUUUGCAUUCCACUUUCUCAAGUCUCAAAGAAAUGCACAAAUGGUUUCAUACCACAUCAAAACCUUCCACUAAAUACAGUUUAGUACUUGGCAUUUAAUUGGAAAGUACAGUUCUGUAGUUUGCAUGUACAACUACAAUUUAGAAGAACUUAGUCCAAGGUCAAGUCCUUGUACCACAGGUUAAAUGUGCAAUUUCAGACUGACCUUUAUGGGGAAUUAAUACAUAUGAAAUCUGACUUCACCUGUUCUGAAUUUCAAUUACUUUAUUCUUCCUGAUUUAGCUUUCAUUUUCACUCACCUCAGCUGAUGCUUAUAAUCAAUUCUUAGAUUCUCUUGAUCUGAUAUUUCUUUAGUCAUACUUUUCAUGUUGUUUCAUGCUAUAUCAGUUACAUUCAGGGGUUAAUAAACUUGGCCUCAGUUCAUCAUGAAAAGACAUGGAAAAAGAUAAUCCUAUCCACAUAUACAACUUUUCUUUUAAAAUAUCCACCUUUCCAAACUAUAGAUAUAUCUUUUUCUUCUUGUAUUCCACUGCAUUAGUGUUCUCAGUCUUUCCGAACUUCACCCUGGCCAGACUCAUAAUCAGUAUACUGAUACAUGCAACAGUUAACUGCCAUUUUUUGUCUCAGUAUCUUGACUUUUGUGAUACUUCCCUUGCCCUAACCGAAGCAUCAUCUGUUUGUUUAGGCUGAGGAUCUUCCACUGCACUUCACAACUUGUUGCUAUGCUCUCUCUGAAUGACUAACACCAACUUCAGUUCAGUACGGUCAAAUGGAGUCAUACUUCCUUCUAAAUCCAAGCUAGCAACCUUUCCUCAGACCUACAAGUCAGGUAUCUCUUUUGAGUCAACUGUCUAUGAGUCCUCAUAUCCCAGUUGUCACUGAAUCUUGCAAGUUCUACAGAAUGCACAAAUACACUGCCACUAAACACAACACUAUUUCCAUUGUAGUGAGUUGACCCUGGCUGGAUGCCAGGUACUUGCUAAAGCCACUCUAUCACUCCCCUCUGCAACUGAACAGAGGAGAGAAAAUAUAACAAAGAGUUUAUGGGUUGACAUAAGGAAGAACCUGGAGAGAUCACUCACCAAUCACCAUCAUAGGCAAAACAGACUAGAAGUAGAGAUAUUAAUUAAAUUUAACAGAAUCAGAGCAGGAGAAUGAGAAGUAAAAUAAACCCUAAAAACAUGUUCCCAUCACCCCCUCCCUCCUUUCCAAGUUCUACCUCCUACCCCAGUGGUGCAGAGAGAUGGGAAUGGGAGUUACAGUCAGUUCAUUAGAGGUUGUUCCUGCCACUAUUCAGGGAGAGGGGUCCUUCCCCUCUGCUCCAGCAUGAGGUGCCUCCCACAGGAGACAGUCCUCUGUGAACUUCCCCAGCGUGAGUCCAUCCCACAGGCAACACAAAGUUCUUCACAAACUGCUGCAACAUGUGUCACUUUUCCACAGGGUGCAGUCCUUUAGGCACAGGCUGCUCCAGCAUAAGUCCCUCACAGGAACACAAGUCCUACCAGAAAACCUGGUUCAGUGUGGGGUGGGCUCUCCCUCCACAGGUGAACAGGUCCCUGCUUGGACCCUGCUCCAGCAUGGGAAUCCCACGGGAUCACAGCCUCCUUUGGGCAUCCAGGUUGUUUUAGAACCCAGCAGUAUCCAGUUUCCAGCAGUAUGAUAGAGAGGAGUUUCCUCACUCAGCUACACAUCUGCUGGCUUGGUACAAAUUAUCUGCAAAUAGUGUUUUUACUUUUGGGAUAAAAGUCUUAUAGGGCCACAUGUCUGCUUCAAAUUGGUAUCCUAAACUUGGUGCUAGCAUGUUUCAGUCAAAAGCUAAUGAAACAAACGUAUGUACACAAACUGGUGAAACCUACCGGACCUACCAAUUUUUAUAUAUUGUCUUGACCUUUUUGAUAACAACUCCCUGGAUAAAGAGUUCACUUACUUGAGGCAGUUGUGCUGAUAAUACAAAGUCAGUACUGGCCUGCUUUGAGGCCACAGCUUACAGUAUACACAAGACUCAGGAGGAGCCUGUGGUUUCACUAGACACUUUUUGUAGCAGAAAACCCCCUCACAGAACUGUAGCCUCUGCUGUGGGGAAAUUGGUUAGCCUCAUAUGGCACACCCUGAUCAUGUUUCCCAACAGCAUAAGGCAGAGGCAAAAUACCAAAAGAUUUAACAGCUUCUAGCUGAAACGUCCUGUGUCUAAAAGUGGAGAACACAAGGUCAGCCCAUUUGCCUCCAGACUCCAAAACCAAAUAGACAUUUUCUAGCCAACAGAAAUAACCGAUUUAGAAAAUCUGGGGUAUUUUCUACAACUUUUGUGUUAGCAGGGAAGUAGAGAAAUGAAAUGCAAAUCUCCCAAAGUUCUCAUUGUACCUAUGAAUUUCUCUUGUAAACGAUCUUGCAGCCUUGUUCUCUUCACUUUAGGAUAACUACCUUAUCUCCCUUGUCUAGAGAGGAAUGUGAGUGAAAUAUCAAAUAUCUAACCUGAAUGCAUAAGCAUCUUGAAACAAAAAGUAAGAAAAGAGCUCCCUUUUUAUUCUUGUCCUUCCCAAAAAUGAUCCCAAUGAAACAUUGUAACACAGGGUUACAGCUGGGAAUCUCCAAAUUCCAUCUUAAACAAAAGUAAAUGUUUUACCUUUCUAGGUAAGGUCUGGCACAAAAUUUAGCCUUUAUAAAAUUUAAAUUAAUAAAUUCAAAAAUUCUGCAAAAGUAGUGAAAUUAUUCCCGUAGCCUCUGCAGUUCAGUUUGCCAUCUCUUGGGAAUCCUGUUUGCUCAGCAAAUAGGUUUAAUAUAGGAUGGCAUCAUUAACACUGCAGGGACAAUUGCUGAAGAACAUGAACAUGAGUCAUUUCCACCUGAAGUCAUACAUGUAAUUACUGCUCCAGCUUAAUAGCAAAUGAGUAAAGCGAAACAGCCUACAAAACACAGAAUUAAUGAAAUUACAUACUAAAUCCCUUUGUUAGUGUAAGAUAUCAAACAUGGAUAAAUCAAUACAUAUAGGUCUCCACUUAUGGAAAAAUGUUAUCUCCCCUGGAAAACAGGUGGGGGCAGGAGACGAAGGCUUGAGGAGCUAGAUGGAAACAUUCAAUGAAUUCAGCCUGUCCUGAGGUAGCAAUGUGGAUGCUAUAUCACUAUACACACACACACACAACACCCCAUCCUUAGUGGCAGCCUCUGAAUCUGUGUUGAUUUACCCCUUGGCUCUGGAAAUGGUUAUUCACCUGAGCACUAAAGGUGAUCACAGCUGUGAGGUGAACACUCACAAGCACUUUAAAUUAAAACCCAUUUAACUCCAGCCACAUUUGCCUUCUCAUUCUUCAGCUAAGAGAACCUGUUUCCAUGAUGUUUGAUUGCCCUGCCCUUCUGCGUUUGCAAUACAGAUGUGUCUAAGCAAUUUUUAAUUACCCUUUUAAUAUAUUAUUUUAUAAUCAGAUUUUUAAAGAAUACGAACAUGAAUUUUUUCCUGUAAAACAUUAUCUGUUAUUAGGCGACACAGCCUACAUGUCCUUGUAAUAAUAAUCACCCUUGACUUGACAUUAGCCACUCCUCUCUACUGUUUUCUUUACUAUAUUGGAAAAGUAACCAUAAAGUGGUUGUUGUUGCCUGUAUUUUUAAUUACUUUGUUGUUUCUUUGCUUUUAUGAGUCAGCCAGACAACUUGUUCAAUAGCCCUAUGACUAAUUUAGUGCCUUUGUUUCUACAAACAGCUGCACCAAAGAGCACCUAAAUAAGACUGUUUCAGUGAUGCUUUAAUGUGUUGCAUUUGAAGUCUUUACUCCUUUGCUGCAAACUGUGCUCACUGCUUAGCUUUGACCACAACUGAGUAAGAUCACAGUGGGAUUCAUUCCUCUUCUUAUUAGAAGUUUGUUCACCUCAAAAUUGUUACAGUCAACUAGACCAUCUCUGCUUGCAAGGGUUCCAGCAAGAGCAGGUAUGUAAUGCUAUAUAUUAGACACAUUCAGGGAAUCCAUGGUUCCUUUGAGCAAUACUAGCUGUGAGCUAUGUAGCAGUUACCCUCCAUUUCAUGAGGUGUAUGAUUUGGUUUUCUGUUGGUUUAGCCACCCUACAAGCCGAAGGUGGGUGGGGGCUGGAGGUGAAAUGCAUGCAGUGCUCCUGGCAGGUGCUUUGCCACUCAGCCCAGAGGUGAAUUUCUGUCUAUACAGCUCAGUAAUUCUUAAAAUUGUGUGUCUGGUGAAAAGACAAUUUGGCUUGCCUCUGGCACUCAGAGACAGGUGUGGUGAUACAAAACCAGGCUAUCAGAUGGUCAUACUGCCUGGGACUUUUUCUCCUGAAUUUUGUUGCAGACUUUCCUCUCACCACAGCCUUCUCAAGCACAAGAAAGCUAGUAUUUCCUGUUCAACAAUUCUAUUUAAUGAUUUAACUUGAGUGUGUACUCCAAGUACUAAGUAUAAAUUAAUAAAUCCUGCUGCAGAAAAUUAUCUUUCUUCUUGGGCUAACUCUCAGUCAGACAUUUUUAAACUCCAGACCAUCUAUUCCCUCUCACUCCUUCUUGGAGGUGAAAAACAGUAACAGUGCUCAUGCUGGUAUGUCAGAAUAGCAAAAGCUACUUUGAUGCUGAAUUUGUUAUACAUGUGUUUGCAUAUUUUUGUGGCUGAAGAGGUACAGAAGGUCUCUUCUAGCUCAAACAGAGACAAACUGAGAAUAACUACAAGGAAGAAAACAAUAACAGUAAAAAGGAACAAAACCCACACACUUUCCUCUGAAGAUUAAACAGAUUAGCUACAGGUAAGAAAGAACCAGACAAGAACUAGAACUCCCACACUGAUAUGUUAGACUCAGUAUUUCUUAUGUGAGUGGAUACCACAAAAGAUGAAAGAGACAGAGCAUUACACUGUCAGCUCAACGGAAUAAGCAACCAAUAUUUGAUAGGAGCUCACAGAGUGCUAAUGAGUUUCAUAAACCCAGGAUGAAAGUGAGUGGGAUAAAAUAGAAUAAAGAACAGAGAAAAGAUUAGGAGGGUCAUAAUAAAGUCAAAUAAUUGUUUUUAGAAACAGCUAAAGCAUGUCCUCCUAAGAUAUGGAGGGGCUGAAGGUGGAGAAAGGGUGGUUUGGACUUUUCUGAUAAUAGACAUGUACGUAUUAGUACAAAAAGACAUACAUUCAUCUGAUAGAGAUUUCCUUUGUACUCAGCCAUCAUUAUUUGGAUCACAUCUCAUGGGAAGCAGUAGGCCCUGAAAGAGAUCCAUAGGAAAGUAUGAGUUUGGACCCUAUUCAUUGACUGAGGAGGGCUGGGCUCUGGGAAGGGCCAAACAGGGUAAAAAAAUCAGAAAACUUUCCUAGGAGUGGGAGAGAGACAGGUGACCAGAAAGAAAAGUGUCUGGUUACAAAGAAAACACAGAAAAGCAAUGGAAAUUUGAAACAGAAACAAGGCUGAGAAGAAAGGAUAAAACCAUUCCAAAGCCUUGCUCAUUUUCCUAUCUGACCCGCUAAGCGAAUGUUCACCUGUAACUUAUUUACUCUGAAUAUAAAACCAGAGAAGAUACAAGGAAACCCAGGUACCAGGAGGAGAACUAUCUAUAUGGGAAGAUGGUCAGGGCAGAUGUGUUUCAUAUUUUGUCCCACCCAGAGGAAAGUGCUGACUCAGAUCGAGAUUCUGACUCAGUAUUUCCCAAGAUCCCUGCCACAUCACUGUGUUGCACUUUCAGAAAUGCCCCUCAGAGAAACACAUACAAGCACUCCGUAGUGGAAAUGAUAGAUCACACUCACAAAUAAGUAAAAAAGAAGUCUAUCCAACAUUAAAAGCAUCCUCUUGAAAAUUCUGCUUCUCUGUUGUCAGUCAUCUUCUCACAAGUUCAGAAAGUUUAUCAGUAAAGCCCCUUUAAAACAGAAAAAGGCCAAGUAAAAUUGAGAAUCGGUGAAUUGAUGCUGUACAUGGUCUAAGAAAAUCUAAAAAAUGUGAAAUGAGUGCUAUAUGGAUUUAAAAGUGUGCCUAGAGCUAUUAAAAAUUGUGGAAGAAGGACAGACCUUCAGAUUAGAGCUAUUCCUUAAGUUUAGUCAGAGUCUAGGGACCAGAUGUCUCUUCUCAUGUCCUCCAAAAGUGCCUCUGGUUUGAAACGGAGAUUUUAGUGAGUGGCUUCCAUGAGUAGUCAAACACCAUUUUUGUAAAAAGUGUAAAUGGAAUUAUAUUUGCGGUUGUAACUUCUUUUUUUUAAGGUUGGUUGGUUUGUUUGUUUUAAUGGCAUGUGACAUGCUUAUUGGGGAGCAACUUCUAUCACUGGACAGAAACUACUUAGCUGAAGUGACUUUUACUCUUCAUCUAAGACUUUGUUUUUCCCUGUGCAGGUUAAAAGUUACCUAUUUUGUCCAUCUGUGUGUAGCUUAUUUUGGAGAUAGAGGCACAAAUGCAUGAGAAUUUCUUCUUUUAAUUGCUAUUCUUUCCCUACAGUGUGUUCAUGUAGCAUUUGUGCAGUUGGUCUACACAUAAUUUUAGAAUUCAUAAGAACUCUCUGAAAAUGAAGAACUAGCUUACUAAGACCAGUUCAAAGUUUUAAAAUGAAUAAUUUUUUCCAUUUAUAUCCUUGCAACUAGCCACCUGUGAUAAACACCAUCUGAAAACCACAUCAUUUUUUUUGCAGCAUUCAAUAAGCAAAUGAUUUUUACAAAGUCUAUGGCAAAAAACCCCCAGUUUUUAGACAGGCAACAUGAAGCUCACCAGCUGGACUUCCAUAAGGACUUUCAUCACUGUGUGUUUGCUUCAGAUAAAAAAUCUCAACAAUUUUUUAUUCAUUCAUGAUUUUUAUUAAACUGCUCUGUUAAUCUACAAAGAGAACAAGCACAUGAAUGACAUAGGGUAGUUGACAGCAUUUUAUGUAUUUUCUACAAAUCUCUGAAAAGUACUGUAUGUAUUUUAAAUUAAUAGUUUACUGGUAUUUGAUGUAAUUUGAGAAUUUUGUCAUUUAUCAAUAAAUUAUGACCUUUCUAUAAAUUCACAGCCAUUUUAUUCCAAAUGUUCUGCUGGGCUAAAUGUGGAAAAGGACUUUAGCGCAUUUAUUUGUAAUCAAAACCAAAACAGUUUAGCUUUACAGUGAGUAAUCAAAUCUUUCUAUCAUUGAGUGAAAGGUGUCCCCUGAGCAUCUGGAGUGACCAAAAGAGAAGCAUGGUUCAGGAACCAAAAGCCUGUAAGGCUGGACUAUCCAAAUUAAGUAGAGCCUAUGGUGUGUGGAGGGUUUCUGAUGAUGUGAAGUAACUCACAUUCUUCAUAUAUCCCAAGGUUGCAUAUCAGGUUCAAAUGUGAAGGAAUUUUGAGACCAUUUAGGGAAGAUAAGAAUAUUCUCAGCAAAUAAUGUGAACAGUGGUAGUUGUUUUUUAUACAAAUUCAUAAAAGUGCAGGCUCUAUUCUAAAUUCUCAACCUUUUCUGUGCUUUUUCAUUUGUUAGAGUCAUUUGUCUGGGCACACCACUCAAGAUAUGAAUUAUUUUUUUUUAAAGCACUUUAUAUUGAUAUCCAGAAUCAAGUUUCCCAAUUCAAUUCACUUUUAAAUGAAAAGCAAUCUUUCCAUUGACUUUUGUAAAUUUUUUAAUCAAUCAACCUUUAACAAAAACCUCAAGCAGCACCAGCUGCACAAGGAAUUAUAAACUGCAAUAAAGAACUGCACAUGGUUAUUGCAACAAAUUGGGUAAGACUGAGUUCUUUAGAAUUUGUUUAGCCUGGUAGCCAAAUUUUCAGUGUAGGUAUUUCAAACUCAAUUUAGCAUCAUGGUUCAUUGAAAUAGCGUAGUCAUGUAAAUACAGUUCAGGGGGCGAGGAAAUAAAUUUUAGUUGAUUGAACAGCAUUAUUUGCAUAAUGUUUGUGUUCAAUGGUCCUUCUAAAGGUGAAGCUAAAAUGGAAAGUCUAAAUUUGUUCUUGUAAGAACAUAAAUCAUUGACAUCUACAGUUUUUAAGGAUGCAACCAGAAAUCUGUGGUGGAGGACACAGGAUGAUAACGCAGGGAGACACAAAGUGGACUGAGGAGAGUUGUGCAUGCCCCAGAGGGAGAGCUGCCAGUGAGCAACAUCUGUUGUUUGACCUUCAGGAGCCUAUGAGAAAGGAAGACUUUGCUUACUGUGGGUGGACACUUUGGUAAGAAAACAGUGAAAGAAGAAGCCGGCAGACAGUUUGCCUUCUUUUGCUAUCUUGCAUCAGGGCCAACUGCUACAUAACACACCCAGAAGCCAUAUUUGUCGCUGUUGCUAGGCCAUUGUGCUGCUCCUCACCUACUUCAGCAGCCUCCUGAAUCCCACGCAUUGCAGAAGUUGCUGUUGUCACUUCUAUGCCCCACGCAAGGCAGCAAAGAGGUGAGAGGUUUUGUAUUAUUUGCUAUUUUGGGCUGAAAAUCCUGCACUUGUCUGCCAGGUUUAGAUUUUUCCACCUCCAGACCUUUGUAGAUUUUUUUAUUAUUCCAGAUUCCCAUUGACAAAAAAUAAUCCCAUGGUCACUCCUGGACUAGUGGAGGAAGAUAAUGGCAAGGACAGAUUUAAGCUGACAACCUUCACCCUGGAGUCCUGCAGGACUCAAGGGCAAAACAGACAAAAUAGAGACUUUGAGGGGUGCACGAUACCACCUGCUCUUGAGUUUGCCCCUACACGAGGGAUGCACAAAGUGGGCUUAUUGGCUCUUAAUUUUCUAAAAGGCCUCAGGGGAACCCCAGAAAACUGCAAAUCAGUAAUGCUGACAUCCCUACCACACAAUUCCCAGACAGAUUGGGCCCAUGGAUAAAUGUGGUGCAAAAGAAAAUAAUAAAUAUGGCAUUUGUGACAGGAUAUACCACACUUUUUUGUUACACAAAAGUUUACUGAAGAGUCAAUGAAUACAGACAAGGGGGAGCCAAAACACUACCAUGUCUUUGAAGCUUCAAAAGAGUCUCUGAUGAGUCUCACUGUAAAGCUACAAAAGAAGUUAAGCUAUUACAUUAUCAGGAAUUCCUCACAUAAAUAUGCAAGUGGUUAAAAUAUAAGAAAAAAAGAGCAGUUAAUAGUUUUUGCAGUUAAGUGGGUUCAGUCAUGAAAGGGCUUGCCUGUGGCCUGUGCCAUUGGUCAGGCAUUGGAAUAGGCUACACAGGAUGGUGGGAUCACCAUCCUUGGAACCUUUCCAAAGGCGUGUGGAUGUGGCACUUGGGGAUAUGGUUUAGGGGUGAACACAGUGGUGAUGGAUUAACAUGUCUUUUCUGUGAUUUAAAAUGUAGACAUCAGCAAUUUGAGAAAAAGGGAAAGCUAUGAAAUAAUUAAGGUUGCUGAAGUACUAAGUUAAUAUUAUUCAUAUUCACAAUAAAGUUUGCUGAUAUUAUAUAUGAGCUAUUAAUAUUCAUAACUAAGUUUACUGACGUACUAAGUUAUGCAGGAUACAGAGAAGAGAUCCAGCUGCAAAGAACUAUUUAAGGACUUCGAAAUAUAGAGUAACAAGGUGAUAAAAUGGCAGAUUAAAAUCAGUACUGAUAAUAUGGAGGAAUAGAGAGUAAGGACAGAAUCAAUUUGCUGCACAAGUGAUGCGUAAAACACAGUGACAUGCUCAGACAAUUCUGUCUUUCCUUUUGAAUUUUCCCCUUUCUAGUUUUAACUACUAAGUAGGAGAUAAUAUCUUUUCACUCCCUAGUAUGUGCAUUUAUUAACCCUCUCAGAUUGCGUAGCUGGAAAUUAUUGUGCUGACCUUCAGUAAAAAAUGUCCAAAGCCUCUGCUAUGUUUUCCCUUGUAAAUAUUUAUGGUAGCCGUUAAAAUUCUUUUCACACUUAAAUUUAGCUUAGCUGCAAAUGCCUUCCUCACUUGGAUAUAGUGAGGAAUGGCACACAAAAUGAGAUCCAGGACCCUGGUGAAAGUGAGAGAAGAGAUGACAAGUUUUCAUGUUACAAGUGAUUUGCCUAAUUUGUAUGGUGUACAACUGUAUAUCAUACACAAAAGGUAUGGGAUGGGAGGGAAGGGGAGGGCAAGGGAUGGGGAAG